AGCAGUAUGGUGUAUUUCGCAUACGGGGUUCACAUAACGGUCAUAUCUUGUUCACCCCGAGGUCCUUGUUCGAAUCAGGGUACUGCUC